GGAGGAAGGACCUUAGCUCAGUGGGACAGAACAACUGUCUUGGAUUCAGAAGGUUGCAGGUUUGAUCCCUGGUGUCUCCU